AAGAAAAAUAUUAAUUAUAAACAAAAUGAUUAUCUACAAGAGAAUCUACAUACUAUUAGAACUGUCUGGGUGCAGUGGCUCAUGCCUGUAAUCACAGCAUUUUGGGAGGCCGAAGUGGGCAGAUCACCUGAGGUCGGGAGUUUGAGAUUAGU